rnacentral:rRNA from 1 species
AUGAACGCUGGCGGCGUGCCUAAUACAUGCCAGUCGAGCGAACAGACGAGGAGCUUGCUCCUCUGACGUUAGCGGCGGGCGGGUGAGUAACACGUGGAUAACCUACCUAUAAGACUGGGAUAACUUCGGGAAACCGGAGCUAAUACCGGAUAAUAUAUUGAACCGCAUGGUUCAAUAGUGAAAGACGGUUUUGCUGUCACUUAUAGAUGGAUCCGCGCCGCAUUAGCUAGUUGGUAAGGUAACGGCUUACCAAGGCAACGAUGCGUAGCCGACCUGAGAGGGUGAUCGGCCACACUGGAACUGAGACACGGUCCAGACUCCUACGGGAGGCAGCAGUAGGGAAUCUUCCGCAAUGGGCGAAAGCCUGACGGAGCAACGCCGCGUGAGUGAUGAAGGUCUUCGGAUCGUAAAACUCUGUUAUUAGGGAAGAACAAAUGUGUAAGUAACUAUGCACGUCUUGACGGUACCUAAUCAGAAAGCCACGGCUAACUACGUG